rnacentral:lncRNA from 1 species
GCAUAAAAGCUCUCCACUUUGGCGGAGGGAGCAUCAGUUGUCUCUUGAGCAUCCCAUAGCCCUUUUAUAACUCAAUCAGUUUCUCAAUUUCAAUAUGGCAUUCCUUAUUAUGAGUAUGCUCAGUAUCCUGGUUGUCUUGGCCCAAGGAUCGCAACUUCCUACUGUUGGACAUGUAUCAAUCGUUGGAUCUCCUCAUACUUCAGGCUUCGUUUCAUCUGGCUCUGGUGGUAUCCCUGCUGCUUCUCAAGGCCGCUUUCAGCCUGUCAGUGGAUCGUCUGUACCCCAGCCUCAUCGUCCUGUGACUGGCCAUGGAUCAGUUGUUUUAGUUCCUGCUGGUGCAACUCGUCAUGUGUCUGGAUCUCGCCAUCAAAGUGCUCUUCCCGUUGCUGCUCCACGCACACAGGCAUCUGGAACAUACCAAAGGAUUGCUGCAGCUCCUGCCAUCAGUUAUCGCCCUCGUCAGACUCUGGGCUCAGUUUUACCUGUUCAUCAGCCUCAGGGUGCAUAUGGAAAUGUUCAUCAGAAUCGCAAUCACCAACAGAAACCCUACUAAGACUACCUUCCACCCAUUGAACCGAAUUGCUGGCCAAACUUAUUAAAUUUAUCUAUAUUUAUUCUUACUAAUGUACAAAAUAUUCGUUUAAUAAACUAAUUGCAACUGAAACCCAA